CUGUCUCCCCCCUGAUGGUCUCCCUGCUUCAAACUGUCUUUAACUGACCUCCUUACUUGCAUCCUGGACCAUGGGAUAACGAGCAUUGCAGCUCCGCAGUGGCGUUCUUUACUGUUUCCCAGCGGCGUCGUUGCGAUCACAUGUCCCCCAGGCAUGAUAGGCAUUGGUUAACUGGUUUGGGCUCUUGCUAUUGGUUGGCGCCGUGCAUUAGUUUGUUUUUUUGGCGCAAUUGCGCAAUUUUUAAACGGACUUGCGCCAAAAAUAAAAUUACCAGGGACCAAAACCCCGCGAAAUAAAUAAGAAAUGGCGGAGCUACUCACACUCACACCGAGCAACCUGGAGAGACUGAGUCUCACUAAAACAAGAUUACAAUGGAGGCACACUUACCCAUAAUGAUGAUGAGGCAGAAUGAGG